AAAGAAUUUAUUUUAAGAUAUGUAUUUAGUAGGAUGAGUGAAAAUUUGAUUUUAUCUAUAGUUAAUAGUACUUUGAUGGGUUAAUUUUAUUUUUUGAUAAUAUUAGGUUUUUUAGUACCUUUUGUAUUAGGGUUGAUUAAUGUGGUUAUAAGUUAGGGUUGUAGUCUCGAUGAAUGUUGGGCUAUUUUUUUAUUUUAAUUUUGUUGCAUAAAAAUGAUAAUAAGAUUAUAGUUAUGAAAUAUUAUUCAAAUUAUUUUUUAUCUGGUUCUUUAAUAAAUUUAAUUAAUAAUAUUUUUAUUAGUUCUAUAAGCAGGGAUUAGCUUGUUUAUUUUGUAUAUAGAUAAUAAGUUAAUUAUUAUAGGUGGAGUUGAUAGUGCUUAUUUGUGUUGAGUUAUUAUUGGAUAUUGUUUGUAGUUUAUUAGUUAAUAUUUUAUGUGCACAUUAAGGUAGUUAUAAUAAUUUUUUAUUGUAUGAAAUAAUGAUUAUAUUAGUAAUAUUGGGUUUAGUUUUUGAUUUAUAUUGUUUAUAAAGUGGGGUUUAGUGAUUAGAGUAUAAAUUUAAAUUAAAAUAAAUGAAUUUGGCAAAAUUAGAUCUUUGACUGUUUAGCAAAAACAUUGUUCUUUGUUAGGAUAAAGAAUAAGUUCUGCCCACUGCUUUAGGUAAAGGGCUGCAGUAUUUUGACUGUAUGAAGGUAGCAUAAUCAUUAGCUUUUUAAUUGGGAGCUGGUAUGAAGGUGAAACAGAGAUUUGCUGUUUCUUUUUUAUUUAUUGAAUUUUAUUUUCAGGUGAAAAAUCUUGAUUAUAUAAAUGGGACAAGAAGACCCUAAUAAAUUUUAUUCUUUUUUAUAAUGAGUAUAUAGGAUUUAUUGAUAUGAUUUAUGAAUAUUGGGGUUAAUUGGGGCGAUGGUUUAUUAAACUUGGAUUUAUUUUUAAUUUGUUUUUAGCGUAAAUUUUGACCUAGGUUGUUUAGUUGGGUGAAAAAUUACUGUAGGGAUAACAGCGUUAUUUUAUUUGAGAGUUCUUAUUGACAAUAAA
rnacentral:rRNA from 1 species